GGCUAACAUGAUGUAGUGGUUUGAGCCUAGGGCUAUGACUCUGGAGUCCAGGGUUCAAAUCCCUGCUUGGCCA